rnacentral:rRNA from 1 species
AUUGAACGCUGGCGGCAUGCUUUACACAUGCAAGUCGAACGGUAACAGGUUAAGCUGACGAGUGGCGAACGGGUGAGUAAUGCAUCGGAACGUGCCCGAUCGUGGGGGAUAACGCAGCGAAAGCUGCGCUAAUACCGCAUACGAUCUGAGGAUGAAAGCGGGGGACCGUAAGGCCUCGCGCGAUCGGAGCGGCCGAUGUCAGAUUAGGUAGUUGGUGGGGUAAAGGCCCACCAAGCCGACGACCUGUAGCUGGUCUGAGAGGACGACCAGCCACACUGGGACUGAGACACGGCCCAGACUCCUACGGGAGGCAGCAGUGGGGAAUUUUGGACAAUGGGCGAAAGCCUGAUCCAGCAAUGCCGCGUGCAGGAAGAAGGCCUUCGGGUUGUAAACUGCUUUUGUACGGAGCGAAAAGGUCCUUUCUAAUACAGGGGGCUCAUGACGGUACCGUAAGAAUAAGCACCGGCUAACUACGUGCCAGCCGCCGCAGUAA